UUUGAUAAAUAACUAUAAAAAAAACCCUUGAAAUGUCUAAUAACUAUCAAUUUUUUUAUUUGAAUAAUUUAUAACAGCUCUCGCCCUGACGUUCUGCUCACACCACCCUUACGUGAGAUGAGAGUCAAUGAUUCACCACUGCAGAUCCACCAAACCCGAGAAGGAGAGCGUACGAGCGAGAGAGAGAGAAACAAGAGCAGUUGAGGAGAAUGAGCACUCGCUUGAAAACAUAAUUAAAUCCUGACUCUGAUAUGGCAACCAACAACCGAUCGCUAUGGUUUCCAGGCCUUUAAUCAUUGAAUGAAUGAGGAGAAUGCUUCGUAUCCGAAUACUUUGGGCAGUCGGUACCGGUCUCUGUUUCACCUGACACAAAAAGGUAGUGAGUGACUUGUGAUGCUCUCUUUCUGUGGUUGGUUUGUGAUGGAUAAUGCCACAGAUUUGGUGUGCUCUAAUUUCCAAAUAACUAUACUUUGAGACGAUCUACAGCUCUUCUGUUUUCACACUUUUUUUAAUCGCAGUUAUAAACCUGCGAUAAUUCUACAGUAUGAUAAACAAUCAAAAUUAUCAGUGUUUGUGAAGAAAUGUGUGUAUAAGAAGCUAAAAGAGAGCAGCAACACGAGUUAAUGAAAAGGAGUGUAUGUUUAUAUAGCUUUUAUAUGACCGAGGAAGCAUGAACUAGUAGUCAAAAAGAUCGAUAGGCCCUCAAAAAAACAAUAAAUAUUUAUCGAAUGAUCUAACGGGCACCACCCAACAUAGGAUGGGCCCUCAAAAAUUGGCGUAUGCUGCUUGGAGUGACCGGCACACUGUAUUCUUUAGUAAAAGGUGAAAGAAUAGUUCGCUCUGUGCCCCACCACGCAGCUGCGUGAUUUUGCUCAUCGGUGUGUCAUGGUCUCCAUGGCAUCCUAACCAGUGCACUCUUUCUAAUGUUACGUUGGACUAAAAGUUUGGCUUCACAUCGAUUUGAGAUUUCUACUUGGACGCGACGCUACUCAAGAUUGAUUAACCAAAGUCAACACAGCAAAUCGAGAGAAGCCACGAUGUCGGAGGAAGAGGAAGUCCAAGAAGCGAUGGGUUUUCUUCUCUCUUGAUUGAUUAUAGGUGCGGUGCCUCCAAAGAACAGAGUAAGAUGGAGAAGAAAUCUAAGAACAGAGUAAUAGGGGGGGGCCUCAAAGAACAGAGUAAGAUGAGUAUUUGUACAUAUUUCCAACAUCCUCUGCAUAGCUCAAGUUUAUUUUAGUAAAAUCAUGGUUGCACAUUGUCCAAUAAUAAUGAUAAGUAAAAAAGAUUAUCUUUUGAGCUCAACACUUACGAUUUAGGUGAUUUCUAAUGUCCAAGUAAUGCAGGACAAUCCAACGAACCGAUUACUAUUUUAUUACGAUGAUUACUAAUUUUUUUUGUUUUUUUCACUUAGAGUCACUCACUUAUUCUUCUAAUUCUUUAUUAGGUAAAAUUCUAAAAAAAAUUAUUUUUAUUUUUUUAUUAGAGUCAUCUUUUCCAUUUAUUCUCAUAGAACGUUAUUUUCUAAAAGACAAAAUUGGUCGUAACCUUUGCCCCGUCAUGGUCGUCGUCACCCCCACCUUUCCACUAGGCUCUGCCACCCUCGCCUUCCUCCCCUCUUCCUUCGUUGCCCCUUCCCUCCUCUCUUCCUUUGUUGCCCUCGUUUUCCCUUCGCUCUUUCUCUCCGUCGUCAUGGUCACCAUUGCGCCCCCCACCCACCCUCUCUCUCCCAACAAAAGGAGGAUGCGAAGGGAGCGCAGGCAAUGGCCGAAGGCGAAGGGUGAUCGAUCGAAAACCAAAGGCAAUUUCAUUUUUCAAGAAAUGAGAGAUGAAAAGAUGUACUAAUAGAGAAAAAUAAAAAAACUUUCUUAAAUAAUUAGGCUUUUCUUAUUUAUAUUAUAUAAAUAAAUGAUUCGUCAAUGAAUUUGCUAAAAUCUAUAAAACGAAAAAAAAACGUAUUUCGUUAAAUCAAAUUCUAAAUACUUAAUGAACCCCAAUUAUUUGGAUAAAUUGUACGAGCACAAAACAAACUAAUUAGGAUGAAGCAAAUACCUUAUUAACGAUUUGAUGGGCCCCACUCGAAUGCAGACAUGGGCCCUAAAAAAUUUGGCGCCACAGUAUUCUUUAGUAAAAGGCGAAACAAUUGUUCAGUCUGUGCCCACCAC
rnacentral:lncRNA from 1 species